rnacentral:rRNA from 1 species
UACGUAGGGUGCAAGCGUUGUCCGGAAUUAUUGGGCGUAAAGAGCUCGUAGGCGGUUUGUCGCGUCUGCUGUGAAAACUGGAGGCUCAACCUCCAGCCUGCAGUGGGUACGGGCAGACUAGAGUGCGGUAGGGGAGAUUGGAAUUCCUGGUGUAGCGGUGGAAUGCGCAGAUAUCAGGAGGAACACCGGUGGCGAAGGCGGGUCUCUGGGCCGAAACUGACGCUGAGGAGCGAAAGCGUGGGGAGCAAACAGG